GGCAGAUAGUACAGCAGUGGGGUAUAUUGGUCAAUAGCCUAACGGCUGAACCAGCAACUUGGAAGAAUGUAUAACGAAUAAGUCGUAUAAAGUUCUAGGUAGAAGAAUGAUUAUGACAAUUUUCUAUCUAUAAGUCUUGACCAAAUUACGUGCCAGCAGUCGCGGUAACACGUAGAAGACUAGUGUUAUUCAUCUUUAUUAGGUUUAAAGGGUACCUAGACGGGAAAUCAAGCCAUAAUAGGGACUAAUUUUCUGGAGUUUUAUGUGAGAAGGCGCGAAUUUCCGGAGGAAAGUUGAUAUUUUAUGAUACUGGAAGGACGGGUAACGGUGAAGACAACCUUCUAUGUAAAAACUGACGUUGAGGGACGAAGCCUUGGGUAACGAUAAGGAUUAGAUACCCUAGUAGUCCUUGGAGAAAAUUAUGAAUGCCAUAGGUUAGCUUAACUGCAAAAUAUAAUAUAUUUGUAGUUAGAUCAGCAAUAACCUUAAUUUAUUGUUGGUCAGCUUAACUGCAAAAUACAUUCUAUUUGUAGCUAGAUCAGCAAUAAGCUAAAUUUGUUGUUGGUCAUACUUUUAGGUCAGCAACAAACGCUAAUGUUGGCCAUACUAUUAAGCUUUUGUUUAAAAUGUACUUUAAAUCUAGUAGAUUAAUAGUAGUAGUAGUAUUAGUAGCAGUAAUAUGGCCUAUAAAUGAAAGUGCAAGCAUUCCACCUCAUGAGUAAAGCGGCAACGCCCAAAUUGAAAUCAUUAGACCGUUUCUGAAACCAGUAGUGAAGUAUGUUAUUUAAUUCGAUGAUCCGCGAAUAACCUUACCACAUUAUGCAUUGAAUAUUAUUCAAUUAUUACAAGCGCUGCACGGCUGUCUUCAGUUAAUGUCGUGAG
rnacentral:rRNA from 1 species